CCUACGGGUGGCAGCAGUGAGGAAUAUUGGUCAAUGGGCGCGAGCCUGAACCAGCCAAGUCGCGUGAGGGAGGACGGCCCUACGGGUUGUAAACCUCUUUUGCCGGGGAGCAACGGGCGCCACGUGUGGCGUCACUGAGAGUACCCGGAGAAAAAGCAUCGGCUAACUCCGUGCCAGCAGCCGCGGUAAUACGGAGGAUGCGAGCGUUAUCCGGAAUUACUGGGUGUAAAGGGAGCGUAGACGGCGAGGUAAGCCUGAAGUGGAAGCACGCGGCCCAACCGCGGAACUGCUUUGGGAACUGUGUUGCUGGAGUAUGGGAGGGGUAAGCGGAAUUCCUGGUGUAGCGGUGAAAUGCGUAGAUAUCAGGAGGAACACCGGUGGCGAAGGCGGCUUACUGGACCAUAACUGACGUUGAGGCUCGAAAGCGUGGGGAGCGAACAGGAUUAGAUACCCUGGUAGUC
rnacentral:rRNA from 1 species